CGCCCCAUCUCCGACCACGCCCUUCACAGGCCGCCACGGCAAGCCCCCUCGUUAGCCAUGUCCACCUCUGACCACGCCUCCGUCUGGCCCCCAGUUGGUUCAAGUCCCCCCAAAACCCAGCUCCAGCCUUGCAGCUUCCUCCCACCUCAAGCCCAAUUUCCUUUCCCCAGGCGGCGACAGCAGGGAGCCCACUCCUCCCGCUGUACCUGCGAGGUUCUGACCUCACGCCGGCUUCACGAUGACCCCUCGCCCAGCCUUCCUCCACUCCCCCCACCCCAGUUGCUCCACGCUCCACUACACAUUCGGGGAGCCUGGGCCCCUCCGCCACCUGUUGCGUGCCAGACGCUUAGGCCAUGGCUCCUGUUGCGUGCAGGCUGCUCCCGGCCUGCCAUUCCGCAGGCUCAGGGCUCUCCGGGAAUCUCUUGGGACCCAGAGUCUGCCAGUCUGUCUAUCUCUAUCCAGGAAACCCUCUCCACCAGCUCUUUCUCCACCUUGAGAACCUUCUUUCUAGUCAUUAUCCCUGAAGCCUCUGCUCUCAUCCCCACCCCCCAGCCCCCACCCCCAGAUGCGCUGAGGCGGACAUCCCCGGGAUGUCUAAAGCCACUGGCCCUCAUCUGCACAACUCUCCACACUAGCUGGGGAAGUCGAUCGGAUGGCCCGGAUUUCCUCUGCAUUCCUUCUCGAAAAUCGAGACCCUUUGGCAAUCACUGGCUUGUGCGGGCCCCCAAGACAUCAUCAGCAAGCAAUGCUUUGCUGUGCACGGCCUUUUCCCGGAUCGAUCCCCAAUAGCACCGAGUUGCAGAUGCUACCAUCAUGCCAACCUGACUUCCCUGGGCAGAUGACCUCACCAAUGUGUCCUCGAACCCCACCUCUCCAGAGCCCUGCCCCACUAGGGAAAGACAGAAACCAGAUGGGGGUAUGAAUCAACUUGUCAACACCCAUGUCCAGUGGAGAAGCAAUUACAGGAGCCAGACCUUCCGUCUUCUACACCCCAUUAUGAUCCUGGGCCCAUGCUCCCAGAGGGGUAAAGAACAGGAUAGCAUCAUCCAUCUAUCUCACUACAAGUCUGGAUAGAGCAAAGUAUUUGGUAACUGGUUACCUCAUUCUUCCACCUGCUGGAUCCUCCCCUGCAAGUCACUGAGGAGAUUAAUGUAUGAAGAGCAAACAGCUUCUCUGGGUUCAAGGGGAAAGAAUUAUGGCUAGGGAGGUGUUGCAGUGGAUAAAGUGUUGGACUCUCAAGCACAGAGUCCUGAGUUUGAUCCCCGAGAUCGCAUGU